AUACGGAGGGUGCAAGCGUUAAUCGGAAUUACUGGGCGUAAAGCGCGCGUAGGCGGAUUGGUAAGUUGGGUGUGAAAGCCCCGGGCUCAACCUGGGAAUUGCAUUCAAUACUGCCUGACUAGAGUAUGGUAGAGGGAAGCGGAAUUCCGGGUGUAGCGGUGAAAUGCGUAGAGAUCCGGAGGAACACCAGUGGCGAAGGCGGCUUCCUGGACCAAUUCUGACGCUGAGGAGCGAAAGCGUGGGGAGCAAACGGGAUUAGAAACCCCGGUAGUCC
rnacentral:rRNA from 1 species